rnacentral:rRNA from 1 species
GAGUUUGAUCGUGGCUCAGGAUGAACGCUGGCGGCGUGCUUAACACAUGCAAGUCGAACGGAGAUAACAUUUUCGAAGCGAUUAGUUUACUAAGAGCGGAGAUGUUGCUAUCUUAGUGGCGGACGGUGAGUAACGCGUGGGUAACCUGCCUUGCACUGGGGGAUAACACUUAGAAAUAGGUGCUAAUACCGCAUAACAGUAGGAGACGCAUGUCUUUUACUUGAAAACUCCGGUGGUGUAAGAUGGACCCGCGUCUGAUUAGCUUGUUGGCGGGUAACGGCCCACCAAGGCAACGAUCAGUAGCCGGCCUGAGAGGGUGAACGGCCACAUUGGGACUGAGACACGGCCCAAACUCCUACGGGAGGCAGCAGUGGGGAAUAUUGGACAAUGGGGGAACCCUGAUCCAGCGACGCCGCGUGAGUGAAGAGUAUUCGGUAUGUAAAGCUCUAUCAGCAGGGAAGAAAGAAAUGACGGUACCUGACUAAGAAGCCCCGGCUAACUACGUGCCAGCCGCCGCCGUAAC